UCAGACACGACUUAGCGACUAAACCACCACCACCACCACCACCAGGGACUCCUAGAAGCCGUCCAGUGGAUAUUUACUGGGACAGUCAAGGGAGGAGCCACUCUGACUGAACCACCGGAGGAUCUGGUGGGGUGGGGGCCUGGCUAAUCUGCGGACAGUGUGUCUCUCCCCGCCCGGAGAUCCCCAGGCUGGGUGGGGUGGGAGGAGCCCAGGCCCCUUCUCUGCCCAGGGUCUCUGCCUGGGCCUUACAGAUUGGGAAAGCUGGUGCCUUUGCCCGUGCACUGCCCUCCCCCAAACCCUUCUCGCCUUGGUGAACGCUGGAGCCAGCGCUACACUCAGCUACAGAGCACCACACCCUCCGGAAUGCCUUCUCUGCGAGCCUCUACCACCAGCUCCACUCUCAGCCUCACUUUCAGACCUCCCUCAGACGGGGGGACCCAAGCGCGUGCGCGGGGUCUGUCACUUGCUGCGAAAAGGCUUUGGGGCUGGGGAACCGCACGGGGCUCCGGGUGAAUGGCUGGUGCCUGGGAAGAUAGCUACAUGGACUUGCUACCAAACCACCAGGCUUUAAAUCUUACCACCUGCUACUGUGUGACCUUGGGUCUACCUAUCUUCUCAGGGCCUCAGUUUCCUCAUCUGAAAAUGAGUGGGAACUGUAAUAAUGAUCCUGUCUUCUAAGGCUGCAGUGAAGAUUGAACUGGGCAUGAGCAGUGCCUGCCACAGAGAACAGUGCUCGGUGUACGACAGUUGCCUAUGUUUUUACCUCCUGUGGGGAUGAUGAGGUCCACAGAUUUAGUGUGGAGAACAUGUUGCUGGCCAAAAUCUUGGCUUUCUCUACCCACUGAAGCCGAAUAAAAAAUAGAAUUUGGAG